AGCAGCCGCGGUAAUUCCAGCUCCAAUAGCGUAUAUUAAAGUUGUUGCAGUUAAAAAGCUCGUAGUUGAAUUUCGGGGUUAGUAGGUUGGUCAUGCCUCUGGUAUGUACUGGUCUCACUGAUUCCUCCUUCCUGAUGAGCCGUAAUGCCAUUAAUUUGGUGUUGCGGGGAAUUUGGACUGUUACUUUGAAAAAUUGAGUGUUUAAAGCAAGCUAACGCUUGAAUACAUUAGCAUGGAAUAAUGAAAUAGGACGUUCGAUCCUAUUUUGUUGGUUUCUAGGAUUGACGUAAUGAUUAAUAGGGAUAGUUGGGGGCAUUAGUAUUCAAUUGUCAGAGGUGAAAUUCUUGGAUUUAUUGAAGACUAACUACUGCGAAAGCAUUUGCCAAGGAUGCUUUCAUUAAUCAAGAACGAAAGUUAGGGGAUCGAAGACGAUCAGAUACCGUCGUAGUCUUAACCAUAAACUAUGCCGACUAGGGAUCGGAUGAUGUUAAUUUUUUAAUGACUCAUUCGGCGCCUUAAC
rnacentral:rRNA from 1 species